rnacentral:rRNA from 1 species
AUUGAACGCUGGCGGCAGGCCUAACACAUGCAAGUCGAACGAGAGGCGGACGGGUGAGAAAUGUCUGGGAAACUGCCUGAUGGUGGGGGAUAACUACCGGACACGGUAACUAAUAACGCCUACCAGCAGAUGUGCCCAGGUGGGGUUCGCUUGGUGGUGGGGUAACGGCACGCCCAGGCGACGAUCCCUAGCUGGGCUGAUAGGAUGGCCAGGUACACCGGAACUGAGCCACGGUCCAGACCACUACGGGAGGGAGCAGUGGAGAAUAUUGCACAAUGGGCGCAAGCCUGAUGCAGCCAUGCCGAGUGUAUGAAGAAGGCCUUCGGGUUGUAAAGUACUUUCAGCUGGGAGGCGGUACCCGCAGAAGAAGGACCGGCUAACUCCGUGCCAGCAGCCGCGGUAAUUC